rnacentral:rRNA from 1 species
UACGUAGGGGGCAAGCGUUGUCCGGAUUUAUUGGGCGUAAAGAGCUCGUAGGCGGUUUGUCGCGUCUGCUGUGAAAACCCGAGGCUCAACCUCGGGCCUGCAGUGGGUACGGGCAGACUAGAGUGCGGUAGGGGAGAUUGGAAUUCCUGGUGUAGCGGUGGAAUGCGCAGAUAUCAGGAGGAACACCGAUGGCGAAGGCAGAUCUCUGGGCCGUAACUGACGCUGAGGAGCGAAAGCAUGGGGAGCGAACAGG